UAUUGACCUGGAGGACAACAAAUACCCUUCAGAUGAAGACUUUGGAGAUCUCUCCUAUUUGGAAGAGGAUGACUUAGAGGGUGCAGACAGUUCAGAUAGUGACCCAGACUAUGUAACAAGAAUUUGUAUUAGGUGAGUUUUAGACAUGAUUCUUGCAUGGAUAGCUUGUUUUGACACUGCACACUGUCCAAGACUGUGAAUGUUCACAACUUUGUUCAUAGAACCGGUGGGGCACUGGAAACGGCAUUGAAUGUGAAUGAUCUACCGGAAGUAAACAUGGAACAGAUUCUCUAUGAUCUGGAUACCGAGGUGGAGGAGGAGCAAGAGGAGCUGGAGGGAGAAACAUCAACUCAUGCUGAAAAGUUUCCUGUGGAAAUGAAAGGUAUGUGUGAAGAAGACAUCAUUGGUGUACCUGCAUCUAUUGUGUAUCACCACAGUCUGAGGCAGCUGGUACAGUAUCUGAGCAUUCCAACCAAAGUAUGCAAAAGGAUGGACAGGGCCGCCAGGCAGCUGUUGUUAAAUGGGUAAAUUUCGAAGUCUUUUCCAUAUCAUCAAUCAUUUGUUCCAUAUUGUGUGUGAAAUGUUGUACUAGCUAUGAGAUCACAGAUAAGAUGAUGCGUUACUGAAAUAUUUAUUCUCGAUGUUUAUCUGAAUUCCAGAUAUGUCCACAAGGUCACAUUGUUUGGAAGUGGUCUUCACAGCCGAUUCUGAAAUAUGGCAUGCAUGCUGGAGACUUUCUUUUGAGCUCAAACAUAGUUUUGUCUGGAAACAACUACGUGAAGGUGGCGUUGCUCUACAAAUUCAUGAACAUUCGCAUCGUGAAACAAGCCACGUUCUACAGAAUCCAGGACCACUUCUGUGUCGACACCAUCAGGGAAUUUUGGGACACCAAAAGGAUGGAAAUAAUCAAGCAACUUCAGUCAAAGCAGAGUAUGGUGGCCUUGGGUGAUGGACGGAUGGAUAGUCCUGGUUUUUGCGAUCAAUAUUGAUAAGAGGCAAACGGCCAUAAAUUCAGUGGCCAUGGAGAAGGAGGCAUUUCUCCAAGCUUUUGAAUCCCUUUCUGAAGAUGUCAAGCUGACAGAAGUUUGCACUGAGGCUAGCCCCCAGAUUUCAGCUCUUUUCAAUCCAAAGACGGGGAAGUUGAAAGAUAGGGGGGUUCAACAUUCUCUUGACGUAUGGCACGGCUCCAAAAAUCUGUCCAGAAGACUUACCACUGCAGGGCAACAGCAGGGGUGUGCGGUUCUGCUUCCGUGGUGCAGAGACAUUUGUAACCAUUCCUGGCACUGCUGCAAGACUGCUGAGACCUAUGACGAGUUUUUUGCAAGACAUGUGGGUCGGCUUUCUGCACCACGUUACUGGGGAGCACCAAUGGGCUCUGGGCAGCUACCAUCAUGGUCCGCUUGAGGAGGCAAGGGAAAAAGAAUGGAUUGAGCCAAAUUCUCAGGCCCAUCAGAAACUUACUGAAGUGAUUCUGAAUGCAGGUUGGUUGAAGGAUGUUUCAAAGUUUCUUCAUUUUAGGUGUGUAAGAUAUGUAACAGAUUCAUGUCACUGUAUGUGUGCAAUAUUUUUUAAAUGACUAAACUUGUCAUUCCUCCACCCCCACCGCAGAUCAACUGCAGACCUGGAAUCGCUUCUGUAGCAGGGGCAGCGGGGCCCUUCAGCACACAAACAACCACACU
ensembl:lncRNA